rnacentral:rRNA from 1 species
UACAGAGGGUGCGAGCGUUGUUCGGAAUUAUUGGGCGUAAAGGGCGCGUAGGCGGCCUGCUAAGUCGAACGUGAAAUCCCUGGGCUCAACCCAGGAACUGCGUCCGAUACUGGUUGGCUUGAAUCCGGGAGAGGGAUGUGGAAUUCCAGGUGUAGCGGUGAAAUGCGUAGAUAUCUGGAGGAACACCGGUGGCGAAGGCGACAUCCUGGACCGGUAUUGACGCUGAGGCGCGAAAGCCAGGGGAGCAAACGGG